GUCCACGCCGUAAACGAUGUCAACUAGCCGUUGGGAGUCUUGAACUCUUAGUGGCGCAGCUAACGCAUUAAGUUGACCGCCUGGGGAGUACGGCCGCAAGGUUAAAACUCAAAUGAAUUGACGGGGGCCCCGCACAAGCGGUGGAGCAUGUGGUUUAAUUCGAAGCAACGCGAAGAACCUUACCAGGCCUUGACAUCCAAUGAACUUUCCAGAGAUGGAUUGGUGCCUUCGGGAACAUUGAGACAGGUGCUGCAUGGCUGUCGU
rnacentral:rRNA from 1 species